GACGAACGCUGGCGGCGUGCUUAACACAUGCAAGUCGAACGGAAAGGCCCUGCUUGUGUGGGGUGCUCGAGUGGCGAACGGGUGAGUAACACGUGAGUAACCUGCCCUUGACUUUGGGAUAACUUCAGGAAACUGGGGCUAAUACCGGAUAGGAGCUCCUGCUGCAUGGUGGGGGUUGGAAAGUUUCGGCGGUUGGGGAUGGACUCGCGGCUUAUCAGCUUGUUGGUGGGGUAGUGGCUUACCAAGGCUUUGACGGGUAGCCGGCCUGAGAGGGUGACCGGGCACAUUGGGACUGAGAUACGGACCAGUGUCCAACGGGAGGCAACAGUGGGGAAUAUGGCACAGUGGGCGGGAGCCUGAUGCGGCAACGCCGCGUGCGGGAUGACGGCCUUCGGGUUGUAAACCGCUUUCGCCUGUGACGAAGCGUGAGUGACGGUAAUGGGUAAAGAAGCACCGGCUAACUACGUG
rnacentral:rRNA from 1 species